rnacentral:tRNA from 1 species
GCCUAGUUAGCUUGGAAGGUAGAGCACCUGCCUUGUAAGCACUAGGUCGCGGGUUCAAUUCCCACCCGAGGUG